rnacentral:lncRNA from 1 species
UAAUUCACGCAUAUAGGGUACUAUGGUAGUAUGAAUUGUUGGGGUGAUGCUAGCCAUGUAUAGGUCCGUCCAUGCAUGCAUGCAAGUGGUCGGUGGUGGACCCCUCACGGCCGGGGUGGUCCGUGAUAACUCGGAAAAAUAAAUAAUUAAAAAUUAUAGAUCUAUUUUGCAACUAAAGAAAUCCGCAAAAUAAUAGUUAUACUGUAAAAAACAGUCAACUUUAU